rnacentral:rRNA from 1 species
AUAAUUGUCAGCUAAGUGGCGCACGGGUGAGUAAUGUAUAGAUAACCUGCCCUUAAGAAAGGAAUAACAGUUGGAAACGACUGCUAAUGCCCUAUAUGCCUUUAAUACAUAAGUAUGCAAGGGAAACGCUUUAGUGCUUAAGGAUGGGUCUGUAUGGUAUCAGCUUGUUGGUGAGGUAAUGGCUCACCAAGGCUAUGACGCCUAACUGGUUUGAGAGGAUGAUCAGUCACACUGGAACUGAGACACGGUCCAGACUCCUACGGGAGGCAGCAGUGGGGAAUAUUGCACAAUGGACGAAAGUCUGAUGCAGCAACGCCGCGUGGAGGAUGACACAUUUCGGUGCGUAAACUCCUUUUAUAUAGGAAGAUAAUGACGGUACUAUAUGAAUAAGCACCGGCUAACUCCGUGCCAGCAGCCGCGGUAAUACGGAGGGUGCAAGCGUUACUCGGAAUCACUGGGCGUAAAGAGCGUGUAGGCGGGUAUAUAAGUCAGAAGUGAAAUCCAAUAGCUCAACUAUUGAACUGCUUUUGAAACUGUAUACCUAGAAUGUGGGAGAGGUAGAUGGAAUUUCUGGUGUAGGGGUAAAAUCCGUAGAGAUCAGAAGGAAUACCGAUUGCGGAGGCGAUCUACUGGAACAUUAUUGACGCUGAGACGCGAAAGCGUGGGGAGCAAACAGGAUUAGAUACCCUGGUAGUCCACGCCCUAAACGAUGUACACUAGUUGUUGUGAGGCUCGACCUUGCAGUAAUGCAGUUAACACAUUAAGUGUACCGCCUGGGGAGUACGGUCGCAAGAUUAAAA